CCUGAGAAACCCAAAAGAUCGAUCGGGGAGAUUCAGCGUCAGCGGUGCCGGUACGUGUGCGGGUCGCGAUGUCGGUGGCUCCGGCCUCUCGACACGCGUCUGUUCAUUGCCCGGUAUCGUCGGCGUGCACUUCUCCCCUAGUAGGACGUCGCGACCCGUUGGGUGUCGGUCUACGGCCCGAGUCGUCGCCUGUCUCGUGUGGCUCCUCACGGUGUCACCGCGGGACAGACCCUCGGAUGCCUGACCGGCUGCCCGGCGGUACUCGCAAGGUAUCUGGCCGCAACAAUUCGAACUGCGUCCAGCCCGUCGCAAGCGAGGCAAGUGUUUCCCGAAUGUACGGAUCUAACGCCGUCAUCGGGCCUGGCCAGCUGUUGGUAGACGGUGCCCUAGGACAGGCUAUAAAAAUUAUGAUACCGGUCGGCGACGCUACUGCUUUGGGUACUUUCAGGACCCGUCUUGAAACACGGACCAAGGAGUCUAACAUGUGCGCGAGUCAUUGGGAACUAUUAAGCCUAAAGGCGUAAUGAAAGUGAAGGUCGGCCUUGCGCCGACCGAGGGAGGAUGGGCCGCGUCACGAUGCGGUCCCGCACUCCCGGGGCGUCUCAUUCUCAUUGCGAGAAGAGGCGCACCCAGAGCGUACACGUUGGGACCCGAAAGAUGGU
rnacentral:rRNA from 1 species